AAAGUUUUUCAUAAUUCUGGUCAUGGUCUUGUGCGUCAGCCUUCGUCGGGUGUGGACGUCCCUCUCUCGCCUGAGUAUCAGUGACAAAUUUCCCCCGUUCUCACUGGGACGCUUGCCCUCAUCUAUUUUGCCCGCCGGGCACUCGACAGGAGGGGCACCUGUACAUCAGCUUACUUUUAGCCAGCUCCAUUUUUUCCGCUCUGAGGAAAAUUCUUUAACGGUCUUUCGUGGGAAGCCGGUUACUGAACUCAGGUGGGAGUGUGGGCGUCCCUCUCUGCUGGGGCUUGGCAAGGGCGUCCACCAGAUCUAAUUGGAAACUUCAAGUUUAUAUUUCUAUUUACAGAGGAACUUUUGUUCCUUUUCUUUCAUCGCCCAGCCUUGGGCAACAAUUUUUCCUCGUACCAUCGAGAAACCGGACUCGAUACGGCUUGUGCUCUCAGUGGCCCUGAUAAACCCAACAACAACAACAACAAUUCUGGUCAUUAUAUGAAGCUCUGGGGUAAUUACCACUGCAACGCUUAUUGUGAGAUCAUCCUGGUACCUAAGGCUGGUAGUUGUUGCACCAAUACUACACUUCAUCCUGGUACCUAAGGCUGGUACUUGUUGUACCAAUACUGCACUUCAUCCUGGUACCUGAGGCUGGUACUUGUUGUACCAGUACUACACUUCAUCCUGGUAGCAGAGGCUGGUACAGGUAGUACCAAUACUACACAUCAUCCUGGUAGCACAGGCUGGUAUUGGUAGUACCAAUAAUACAGUUCAUCCUGGUACCAUUGGUUGGUACUUGUAGUACCAAUACUACACUUCAUCCUGGUAACAGAGGCUGGCACUUGUAGUGCCAAUACUACAAGUCAUCCUGGUAGCAGAGUCUGGCACUUGUAGUGUCAAUACUACAAGUCAUCCUGGUAGCAGAGUCUGGCACUUGUAGUGUCAAUACUACAAGUCAUCCUGGUAGCAGAGUCUGGCACUUGUAGUACCAAUACUACAAGUCAUCCUGGUGGCAGAAUAAUUAUUCUUGUAGUGUUAAUUUUCGGUAUUUUAAGGCUCAGGGGUCAAAUACUGAAAUAUAUAUAAUGACAACACAGUGUUACUACAGUGUUAGAAAUGGAAUAUUUAUAGUAUCAACAUCAGUAUCAUGAAGUUGCUGUGUUAGGAUACUGUUACACAUCACCUUAACAUCCUACUGUUACACAUCACCUUAACAUCCUACUGUUACACAUCACCUUAACAUCCUACUGUUACACAUCACCUUAACAUCCUACUGUUACACAUCACCUUAACAUCCUGCUGUUAAACAUCACCUUAACAUCCUACUGUUACACAUCACCUUAACAUCCUACUGUUACACAUCACCUUAACAUCCUGCUGUUAAACAUCACCUUAACAUCCUGCUGUUAAACAUCACCUUAACAUCCUGCUGUUAAACAUCACCUUAACAUCCUGCUGUUAAACAUCACCUUAACAUCCUGCUGUUAAACAUCACAUUAGCAUCCUACAGUUAACACUCAUCAUUGUGUUAUGCACAACAUUAUCAUUGAUUGUAAUAAGAAUUUUUUUCAUAAUAUUUGUUGUUACAAAACUUUUGUGAAGACUUUAGCAAGAAACAUUUAAAUUCACGAAAAGUAGAUCUUUGUUAUUGACCCCAGUGCCUUGUAGAUCUUUGUUAUUGACCCCUGUGCCUUGUAGAUUUUGUUUUUGUCCCCAGUGUCUUGUAGAUCUUUCUUAUUGACCCUGGUGUGUUGUAGAUCUUUGUUAUUGACCCCAUGUCUUGUAGAUCUUUGUUAUUGGCCCCAGUGCCUUGUAGAUUUUGUUUUUGUCCCCAGUGUCUUGUAGAUCUUUGUUAUUGACCCCAGUGUCUUGUAAAUCUUUCUUAUUGACCCCGAUGUUUUGUAGAUCUUUGUUAUUGACCCCAGUGUCUUGUAGAUCUUUCUUAUUGACCCCAGUGUCUUGUAGAUCUACAUUAUUGAUGCAAGUGUCACUCAUGUAGAUUUACGUUUUAAGAACAGCACCUUCAAAUAUGUUGUGAGUAAUAAAUUUUGGCUUAAACCUGAGAAAAUGGGUCUGCACAAUAAUGUGCACUGUAUAAAAACGUUCUGUUAUGCAGUGCUUGAUUGGAAACCUCUGACUUUGUGUUUGGUUUAAAAUAGUGACAUUCAGGUAUUGUAUUAUAGGAUGGGUUUUUAUGGGUUUAUUGGCUGUUUCUUGGUACCAGUUGAUACAAUAAAAGUUAUAGUUUUGAAAUAGGGCUGGAAGUAGCUUGAAAUAGGGCUCAAAGUAAUAGAAAUAUUUAAGUUUUGAUAAUUUUUCUGAGGAAGGGUAGGUCCCCUUUUUCCCAAUCUGUUUUUUUUACUAGGUCUGCUUUAAUUAUUGGGUGCCCUAAACCUUGACACUCAUUCCAGUUAUAUUUUAAUAUAUAUGAAAUAGGAUAAUACUUUGAUAUUUUUUUUGAUGAUGGUUUCAAAAUGGAGGACAAGUGUAAGAUACCAGAGGCUGGAGGACAUGAUUGAUGAACAAGGGAUAGGUUAUUAGUUGCUGCACUGAAUAUACUGUUUAUUUUUUAUUCUUGUUUUAAUAUGUUUUCAAAUUAGAAUUUGUUUAAUUUCAAGUAAAAUUAGUUAAGUUACCAACUUCUGUGUAAUUUAAAUAGUGUGAAAUAGCUAAGAAUUCCUUCAGAAUGAGCAAUGGAAUUGGCUUGAAAUAGGACUUAAAGUGGGAAAAAUUCACUGAUUCAUAAAUUGCAAUCAGACUGCCGGCUUUGCAUCUACAUAAUUCCAUACGUUGUUUAUCAAAUUUCAUGUUGUUGGUGUUAUUAUCUUAAGAAAAAUAUUCUUUAUUAGAAGCAUUUUUUUUAAAUCUCAGCACUUUCAGUAUUUUUAAUUUUGUGGUUCUGACAUAGAAAAGGUUAAGUCAUUGUUCACUAUGUCUAAAAUACUUGAACAAAAAUGUGUUCAAGCCACAAACAUAGUUGCACAAAAAUCUCAGUGUGUAUCACUGAUAGCAGUUAAUAAAGACAAGAAAACAGUUCAGUGCUCAGUGUGUUUUAAAGAGUUUUCUAAAAAGAAAUAUUUAAUGAGACAUAUAAGUAUUCAUAGCAGAGAGAAACAACAGUGUUGUGUGUGUCUAAAAAUCUUUUUACAUGAAUCUCAGUUGAUAAAACACAUGAAAAUUCACACUGAAGUGAAACCAUAUCAAUGUUCAGAGUGUCUCAAAGAAUUGUCAGAUAAAUCUAGCUUAGUAAGACACAAGAAAAUUCAUAUUGGAGAGAGAUAUCAAUGCUCAGAGUGUCUAAAAGAGUUUUCCAUAAAAUCUUACUUAGUACAACACAUGAGAAUUCAUACCAAUGAGAAACCAUAUCAGUGUUCAGAGUGUCUAAAAGAGUUUUCCGUAAAAUCUUAUUUAGUACAACACAUGAGAAUUCAUAUUGAAAAGAAACCAUAUCAGUGUUCAGAGUGUGUAAAAAAAUUUACAGAUAAAUCUAGUUUAGUAAGACACAUGAAAAUUCAUACUGGAGAGAAACCAUAUCAAUGCUCAGAGUGUCUAAAAAAGUUUUCCAUAAAACCUCAUUUAGUACAACAUGUGAGAAUUCAUACUGGAGAGAAACCAUAUCAGUGCUCAGAGUGUCUUAAAGAAUUUUCAGAUAACUCGGGUUUAGUAAGACAUGUAAGAAUUCAUACUGGAGAGAAACCAUAUCAGUGCUCAGAGUGUCUUAAAGAAUUUUCAGAUAAAUUUCGUUUAGCAGAACACACAAGAAUUCAUACUGGAGAGAAACCAUAUCAAUGUUCAGAGUGUCUAAAAAAGUUUACCAUAAAAUCUACUUUAGUAAAUCAUAUGAGAAUUCAUACUGGAGAGAAACCAUAUCAAUGUUUAGAGUGUCUAAAAGAAUUUGCCAGAAAAUCUUAUUUAGUACUACACAUGAGAAUUCAUUCAAAAGAGAAGCUUUUAGGUGUUCAGAAUGUCUGAAGGAGUUAUCAUGUAAUUAUAAUUUAGUGAAAUACCUGAGACUUCAUACUUGUUAGAAGUCAUAUCACUCUUCAAUUUCUAAAUGUUUUCUCACAAUGAUUUUCUCACAAGGAUCCUUGAUGCCUGUAAGGGGCCUUUGAUCCAAGAAACUGACAUUAUCAUCCCUUUUCUGGGAUUAGAUAUGAUUGCCUCCUAUUUCCCCGGCAGUGUAUGACCCUAUUGGACCAAUCACAACCUUCUGUGAGUCGCUCCAGCUAAGGGAUGAUGGUGUCUGCUUGCUUCCCAUUGGUUGAGAGACCAAAAUGUAAGCACUUCUAGCUUGGCGUCGUCAACAGCAGUUUUUUCCUCCAGUUAUACUCAUAUACUCUGAGUAUACUGAGAGUUUACCCUCUGCAGUGUUGAUCAAUGAGCAAUUGUUUUAUGGUGAGCCCUCCAAAGAGAAGUCCAAAUAUGUCUGCAUUUAUGGAGGAAAGUGACUCAGAUCAAGAGCCAGAUGAUCUGGAAUUGGUUGACCAUGGUGAUGAAUACUUGCCACUGGAUUCAGGGGUGUCAAGUGAUGAUGAGGAGGAAGACAGACCUUCCAAAAAGCCUAAAUUAGCCCAGAAAAAGAAAGGUAUUACAAUCGAGGAGUACCCUGAUGAAGAUCUUCAUGAUGAGCUUGCUCUUCAAGCUCAGAUACAUUGGAACCAGAAAGACAUCCAAAAUGACCCUUUGACUGUAUACCAACAUGAAAAGCCUCUUGAAAUUAGCUGUCCAUUUGAUUGUUUUAGCAAGUUUUUUACUCAAAAUAUGAUAGACAACAUCACAUAUCAAACAAAUUUGUAUGCCAAACAAAAAAACAUUAAUACUACUUUGUAACUGAUUCUGAAGAAAUAAAGUUCAAGUUCAUCGGUAUUCUGUUGUUUAUGGGUAUUUGUCCAUACCCAUCUCUAGAUGACUAUUGGGCAGGUGCAGCUAAGGUACCCCACAUCACAGAAGUCAUGUCAUUUAAGAGGUUUAGGUUGCUUAGGCGUACAAUUCAUUUCAAUGAUAAAACCCAAAAGGAUAAUGACAUAUUCCACAAAGUAAGGUAUUACAACCCAGGAACAAAAAAGGCUUGUUAUCCUGGGUGUAAAGGGAGCAAAAUAUACACAACUGAAUGACUGACUUAUAUUAUCCUUCAAGUGUAAACAGCAGUAUGUACACUAUAUUCACUAUGUAUAGCAA